GCGGCAGGCGGAUCCGGCGCGGAGCCCCGCGGAAGGUGCGCUUGCCCGCUCGGCGCCGGCAGCCUGGCGCCGGCUGGGGCGGAGGAGGAUGCUGCGGCAGGCGAUCCACAGAGGGCUCCGCUCGUCGUGCCACCAGCUGGGCUUGUUCGUCAGCCGCCACCCGGUCUUCUUCCUGACGGUGCCCGCAGUGCUGACGCUCAUCUUCGGCUUCAGCGCCCUGCACCGCUUCCAGCCCGAGACCGACCUGGAGCGCCUGGUGGCGCCCAGCCACAGCCUGGCCAAGAUCGAGCGCAGCCUGGCCAACAGCCUCUUCCCGCUGGACCGCUCCAAAAGCCGCCUCUACUCGGACUUGCACACCCCGGGGCGCUAUGGCCGCCUGAUCGCCCUCUCCAAGCCCGGAGGCAAUAUUCUGCAUCAGGCAGAAGGACUGCUGCGCAUCCACCGAGCCGUGCUGGAAAUGAAGGUGAACCACAAAGGCUAUAAUUAUACUUUUUCCCAUCUGUGUGUGUUGAGAAAUCAGGAUAAGAAAUGCGUGCUGGAUGAUAUAAUUUCAGUGCUAGAGGAUCUGAGGCAGGCUGCCCUCUCCAAUAAGACAACAGCCAGGGUGCAAGUGAGCUAUCCCAACACUAAAUUGAAGGAUGGAAGAAGCAGUUUCAUCGGCCAUCAGCUUGGUGGGGUCAUGGAAUUGCCAGGCAGCAAGGACCAAAGGGUCAAGUCGGCCAGAGCCAUCCAAAUCACUUACUACCUCCAAACCUACCAUUCUGCAGUACAGGACCUCAUUGGUGAAAAAUGGGAGAAUGAAUUUUGCAAACUGAUACACAAACUGCAGCUGCACCAGGAGGAGCUGCAGCUGUAUGCUCUCGCCUCCUUCAGCCUGUGGAGGGACUUUCACAAGACCAGCAUCCUGGCCAGAGGCAAGAUUUUGGUGAGCUUAAUGCUGAUUCUGCUGGCUGCCAUCCUCUCAAGUUCCAUGAAAGACUGCCUGCGCAGCAAGCCCUUCCUUGGCCUCUUGGGAGCGCUCACGAUCUGUAUCUCCAGUGUCACUGCGGCAGGGAUAUUUUUCAUUACUGAUGGAAAAUAUAAUUCGACUCUGUUGGGAAUUCCUUUCUUCGCAAUGGGUCAUGGAACCAAAGGAGUGUUUGAACUUCUGUCAGGAUGGCGCCGGACCAGAGAAAGCCUGCCGUUCAAAGACAGGGUUGCCGACGCCUACUCUGAUGUGAUGGUCUCCUACACCAUGACAAGCUCCUUGUACUUUAUCGCCUUUGGCAUGGGUGCUAGUCCUUUCACCAACAUUGAGGCUGUGAAAGUCUUCUGCCAGAAUAUGUGCAUCUCCAUCCUGUUGAACUACUUCUACAUCUUCUCCUUCUUUGGUUCCUGCCUGGUCUUUGCUGGACAGUUGGAGCAGAAUCGGUACCACAGCAUCUUCUGCUGUAAAAUCCCCUCAGCAGAAUACCUGGAAAGGAAGCCUAUUUGGUUCCAAACCAUGAUGAGUGAUGGCUACCACCACUCUUCUCACCACGAAACUGAUCCGUACCAGAACCACUUUAUACAACAUUUCCUGCGGGAGCAUUACAAUGAAUGGAUUACUAAUAUCUAUGUUAAGCCCUUUGUGGUGAUACUGUAUCUCAUUUAUGCUUCCUUUUCCUUUAUGGGCUGCUUGCAGAUCAGCGAUGGAGCCAAUAUUAUCAAUCUUCUCUCCAGCAAUUCUCCAAGUGUCUCCUAUGCUGUUGUUCAACAGAAGUACUUUAGCAACUACAGCCCAGUGAUAGGGUUCUAUAUCUAUGAGCCCCUUGAGUACUGGAACGGCACCGUCCAAGAUGACUUAAAGAAGCUGACUGAAGGUUUCAACACCCUGUCCUGGAUUCAACAGUAUUAUCAAUAUCUGAAAGCUGGGAAUAUUAGUGCCACCAACAAAAGCUAUUUCCAUAGCAUCCUGCAAAGCUCCUUUUUAAGAAAGCCAGAAUUCCAGCACUUCAAAAAUGACAUAAUUUUUUCCAAGGCUGGAAAUGUUAAUAGCAUAAUUGCAUCCCGCAUGUACCUUGUGGCUAGGACUAGUGAAAAAACACAGAGAGAUGUUAUUGAGUUACUGGAGAAGCUGAGACCCCUGUCUCUGAAGCAGAGCAUCAAGUUCAUCGUGUUCAACCCCACCUUUGUCUUCAUGGACCAAUACAGCCUCUCUGUAACCAUGCCGGUCUUGAUUUCAAGCUUUGGCAUCUUACUGGUGUUGCUGCUUACCUUCUUCCUGGUGAUCCAUCCUCUAGGGAACUUCUGGUUAAUUCUCACUGUCACCUCAAUAGAGUUGGGUGUUCUUGGCUUGAUGACUUUGUGGAACGUUGACAUGGAUUGCAUUUCCACACUGUGCCUUAUUUACACUUUGAAUUUUUCCAUAGAUCACUGUGCACCCCUGCUUUACACAUUUGUACUAGCAACUGAGCACACCCGAACUCAGUGUAUCAAAAGCUCCCUCCAAGAACACGGAACAGCAAUUUUGCAAAACGUUACUUCUUUUCUUAUUGGGUUGGUCCCCCUCCUUUUCGUGCCUUCAAACUUGACCUUCACACUGUUCAAAUGCUUGCUGCUCACUGGCAGUUGCACACUUCUGCACUGUUUUGUAAUCUUACCUGUCUUCCUAACAUUUUUCCCACCCUCCAAAAAGCACCACAAGAAAAAGAAACGAGCCAAACGAAAGGAGCGGGAAGAGAUUGAGUGCAUAGAAGUUCAAGAGAAUCCUGAUCACGUGACAGCAGUCUGAGUCACGCAGAACUACAUGGUUUUUAAUUGCGAAAAGAAAUGCUACACUGAGCUGGAGGGAAAGUAGAGCAAAGAUCUCCGCUGCUUGAGCUGGCCCACACAAAACAAGUCUAAGGAAGCCCCCAAAAGGAGUAUUUGUGGCACAUGGAGGUCUUUGUCUACAGCAUUUGAAGACUCAAGUAUUCUCAUCUGGCAGGAGGAGACUGCAAGGUAUGGUAGUCGGAAUGAGGGACUAGCACCAUAAGAAUCUGGUAGAUGGAGGGCCAAACUACAAGUGUUGACACUUAAAUCGUCUCUUCCUUGAGGGUUUUCAAGGAAGUAUAAAUCAGGGAUGGGGAGCCUCCAUCUAUACUAUCGAUGGACUGCUUCCAUUAGUGACUGCACAGAUGUUUUCAUCCAUACUGCGUACAUUUUUCAGAGAGCCAUCCAUCCCAUCUCUGCCACUUUGAAGGAUGUCAAUUUUUUGAAAGGAAGCUGAGGUGAAGGCCAUAUUUCUCAUUUAGGGAACAACUGAAAGUACCUAUAGGUUGAAACUGUUGGAGCAUCACAACAAAGCUUGGACCUGAGGGAUUCACCACCUUCUCAUUCCUCCAUCCCCUGCCAACCCAGAGACCUAGCGGAAUGAGCUUUCCGCCUAUUGUUUCCUAAACUUGAUCUUGGAUUGAGAAGAGAUCCUCCCAUUGUUUCCAGUGGGACAGAAAUCACCCACUUAAAAGCCUGGAGAAAGAGAGCUGUGCUAGAGGGCAAACCUGGCUGGGUGUUGGAUGUGGUGCUUCGGCUGCCUUCCCUUCUUUCCCUUGAGGACGGCAGACGAAUGAGAAACGUUCAUUUAAUCCUCACUCUGUUCUUAACAAGAGAGUAUCAAAUAUGCUAUGCAAAAUGAAAUGCAAACUUUACAUUCCAUGUUGUUAUUUCAGUGCUGUUGUUCAUUUUACGGAAACAAAGUAGAGAUUUAAACUUCCUCAGACUUUUAUUUAAUGCCAGGCUUUUACCACCGAAACUGUGAUCCUGGGAAGCCCUUUCUAAGUUGCUUAAGGAAGUCAUACGCCUUUUGCAUUCCUUGCCAUUUGCAGAGCUGCCAUCACAACCAAGCCAUAAACUCCACCAUCUGCAGUGGGGAAGUGCUGGUCUUGGGGGCGGUUGUGUGGUGCUGAAUUUGAGGAGAUGCAAAAUAUUGUGUGUUUAUCAAAGAUAGCAAUUAGUAUUCAGUCCAGUUAAUGGGAGAUACUACUGUAGGCUUCAAUAUUGCCAUCUGUUUCAUGGAGCAUUUAAGUGUAUUGUAAUACACUUGAUCCAUCAAAAACUUCUUGCAUUCAUUACAGUGGGAUUUGGAGGGGAGAGCCGCAGGUUCCAUAAGAAAAUGAGAACUCUGGAACAGCAAUGCAUUGAAGUCCCCCAGACCAUUUUAGGGACUGAAAGAGAGCCCACCGGAUCCAAUAUUUGUGUGAAGGUUGUAUUUCACCAAUUUGCAUGCUCUUCACAACAUAACAUACCAGCACAUACUCCAGUACAAAAUUACGGAAUGGGCCGUAUGAGUUAUAGUGUUGAUUAACUAUGCUAAUCGGCACAUAUUUACAUUAUUUUACAGGGUUCAUUGUAUUAGGAUUCCUUAUACAGCUUUAUUAUUUUGUUGUAACCAUCAGCUGUUUGGCUCACUGAAAAUUGUCAAGGAAUCCAGAUUAUUAGUAUUGUCCUAUAUGCAGUUAUUCGUAGGGUGGUGACUAAUAUACAUUUUAUAUUAGAAGUGUAGAUUGGGCGAUGAUAACCUGAUGAAUGCUCUCAAUUAUUCUGAAGUUUUGUUAUGUUUAUCUUCUGGGGGGAGGGCACUAUUCUCAGUAUCUUGCCAAAAUUUACCAGCUUGUGUAAUUUUGUAUCAAAAGAGAAAACUGAUUUUUAAUUAAACUUCUAUAAAAAUAACAAAAUGUGUUACUUUUUAUUUCUUAUGCGGUUCUGUUAAACAAAUGCAACAUAUCAUAGCUCAUCUAUGACCAGGAGUGACCCAGGAGAGGGGACCAGUGAUGGGGGCGGGGAGUUGGUGCUGCCUGACAGAGGAGGACAGGCCAGAUGUGGCAGAAG